rnacentral:rRNA from 1 species
AAGGUUUGAUCCUGGCUCAGGAUGAAACGCUAGCGGCAGGCUUAAUACNUGCAGCUCGGUGGGGCAGCAGGGGUAGCAAUACCCCGCUGGGGACCGGCAAACGGGGUGCGGGAACACGUACGCAACCUUCCCUUUAACUGGAGAAUAGCCCCCUCGAAAGAGGGAUUAAUACUCCGUAACAUAUAAAUGUGGCAUCACAAAUAUAUUAUAGCUCGGGCGGUUAAAGAUGGGCGUGCGCCUGAUUAGAUAGUUGGCGGGGUAACGGCCCACCAAGUCUGCGAUCAGUAACUGGUGUGAGAGCACGACCAGUCACACGGGCACUGAGACACGGGCCGGACUCCUACGGGAGGCAGCAGUAAGGAAUAUUGGUCAAUGGACGCAAGUCUGAACCAGCCAUGCCGCGUGGAGGAUUAAGGCCCUCUGGGUUGUAAACUCCUUUUAUCUGGGAAGAAAUGCAUUUUUUCUAAAGUGCUUGACGGUACCAGAGGAAUAAGCACCGGCUAACUCCGUGCCAGCAGCCGCGGUAAUACGGAGGGUGCAAGCGUUAUCCGGAUUCACUGGGUUUAAAGGGUGCGUAGGCGGGCAGGUAAGUCCGUGGUGAAAUCUCUGAGCUUAACUCAGAAACUGCCAUGGAUACUAUUUGUCUUGAAUAUUGUGGAGGUAAGCGGAAUAUGUCAUGUAGCGGUGAAAUGCUUAGAUAUGACAUAGAACACCAAUUGCGAAGGCAGCUUACUACACAGUUAUUGACGCUGAGGCACGAAAGCGUGGGGAUC